GAGUUUGAUCGUGGCUCAGAUUGAACGCUGGCGGCAUGCCUUACACAUGCAAGUCGAACGGCAGCACGGGAGCUUGCUCCUGGUGGCGAGUGGCGAACGGGUGAGUAAUGCAUCGGAACGUAUCCUGGAGUGGGGGAUAACGUAGCGAAAGUUACGCUAAUACCGCAUAUUCUGUGAGCAGGAAAGCGGGGGGACCUUCGGGCCUUGCGCUAUCAGAUGAGCCUAGGUCGGAUUAGCUAGUUGGUGGGGUAAUGGCUCACCAAGGCGACGAUCCGUAACUGGUCUGAGAGGAUGAUCAGUCACACUGGAACUGAGACACGGUCCAGACUCCUACGGGAGGCAGCAGUGGGAAUAUGGACAAUGGGCGAAAGCCUGAUCCAGCCAUGCCGCGUGUGUGAAGAAGGUCUUCGGAUUGUAAAGCACUUUAAGUUGGAGGAAGGGCAGUAAGUUAAUACCUUGCUG
rnacentral:rRNA from 1 species